rnacentral:misc_RNA from 1 species
UCCGUGUUGACCACGGCAGUCUCCUGCGAGUCCUCGCCAUAACGCGUUAGCAACACAGGACAAGGGUUGCGCUCGUUGCGGGACUUAACCCAACAUCUCACGACACGAGCUGACGACAGCCAUGCACCACCUAUCGCCGGCCCCGAAGGACACCAUAUCUCUAUGGCUUUUCCGGCGUAGUUCAAUCCAGGUGAGGUUCUUCGCGUUGCAUCGAAUUAAGCGACAUGCUCCGCUGCUUGUGCGGGUCCCCGUCAAUUCCUUUGAGUUUUAGCCUUGCGGCCGUACUCCCCAGGCGGGAUACUUAAUGCGUUAGCGACGGCGCGGAAGAAGUUGGUUAUCUCCCACACCUAGUAUCCACCGUUUACGGCGUGGACUAC